rnacentral:rRNA from 1 species
CGUGCCUACUGUUUCUGUGUGAAUUGUUAUCCGCUCAACAGCCGCCAUGGCGGCCGCGGGAAUUCGAUUGAAACGGCCGCUAAUACCGCAUGUGGUUCUUGAAACACAAGUUUCGAGAAAGAAAGGCGCGUUUGCGCCGCCGAAAGAUGGGCCCGCCCCCCAUUAGCUUGUUGGUGUGAUCACAGCGCACCAAGGCAACGAUGGGUAGCCGAGCUGAGAGGUUGAUCGGCCACACUGGGACUGAGAUACGGCCCAGACACCUACGGGUGGCAGCAGUAGGGAAUAUUGCGCAAUGGGCGAAAGCCUGACGCAGCCAUGCCGCGUGGAUGAUGAAGGCCUUCGGGUCGUAAAGUCCUUUUCUGAGGGAAGAACAAGCGGGGUAGGAAAUGCCCCCGCCCUGACGGUACCUCAGGAAUAAGCAACGGCAAACUCCGUGCCAGCAGCCGCGGUAAUACGGAGGUUGCAAGCGUUGUUCGGAAUAACUGGGCGUAAAGGGAGCGCAGGCGGUUUGAUCAGUCUGAAGUGGAAGCCCGGGGCUCAACCCCGGAAGGCCUUUGGAUACUGUCAGACUUGAGUUCGUGAGAGGAGAGUGGAAUUCCAGGUGUAGCGGUGAAAUGCGUAGAUAUCUGGAGGAACAUCGAUGGCGAAGGCAACUCUCUGGCACGAUACUGACGCUGAGGCUCGAAAGCGUGGUUAAGUGCACCGCCUGGGGAAGAACCCCGCAAGCGUGAAACUCAAAGGAUUUAAA